rnacentral:rRNA from 1 species
CGCAGCCGCGGUAAUUCCAGCUCCAAUAGCGUAUAUUAAAGUUGUUGCAGUUAAAAAGCUCGUAGUUGAAUUUCGGGGUUAGUAGGUUGGUCAUGCCUCUGGUAUGUACUGGUCUCACUGAUUCCUCCUUCCUGAUGAACCUUAAUGCCAUUAAUUUGGUGUUUUGGGGAAUUUGGACUGUUACUUUGAAAAAAUUAGAGUGUUUAAAGCAAGCUAACGCUUGAAUACAUUAGCAUGGAAUAAUGAAAUAGGACGUUCGAUCCUAUUUUGUUGGUUUCUAGGAUUGACGUAAUGAUUAAUAGGGGUAGUUGGGGGCAUUAGUAUUCAAUUGUCAGAGGUGAAAUUCUUGGAUUUAUUGAAGACUAACUACUGCGAAAGCAUUUGCCAAGGAUGUUUUCAUUAAUCAAGAACGAAAGUUAGGGGAUCGAAGACGAUCAGAUACCGUCGUAGUCUUAACCAUAAACUAUGCCGACUAGGGAUCGGAUGAUGUUAAUUUUUUAAUGACUCA